GACGAACGCUGGCGGCGUGCUUAAUACAUGCAAGUCGAACGGAAAGGCCCUGCUUUUGUGGGGUGCUCGAGUGGCGAACGGGUGAGUAACACGUGAGUAACCUGCCCUUGACUUUGGGAUAACUUCAGGAAACUGGGGCUAAUACCGGAUAGGAGCUCCUGCUGCAUGGUGGGGGUUGGAAAGUUUCGGCGGUUGGGGAUGGACUCGCGGCUUAUCAGCUUGUUGGUGGGGUAGUGGCUUACCAAGGCUUUGACGGGUAGCCGGCCUGAGAGGGUGACCGGCCACAUUGGGACUGAGAUACGGCCCAGACUCCUACGGGAGGCAGCAGUGGGGAAUAUUGCACAAUGGGCGGAAGCCUGAUGCAGCAACGCCGCGUGCGGGAUGACGGCCUUCGGGUUGUAAACCGCUUUCGCCUGUGAUGAAGCGUGAGUGACGGUAAUGGGUAAAGAAGCACCGGCUAACUACGUG
rnacentral:rRNA from 1 species